CCGAACCCGAAACUCCAAAGCGAUAGGUCUGGUCCAUACCACGAAGAGAAGAUAACGACGACUUCAUUUCUUCCUGGAAUCGGAUCUGCUCAUCCUUGAUAGAGUUCAACAUACCCUCAUUUUGUUCACGAGAGCGAGCAAUACGAGCCUCCAAACGCUGAGACGUCUGGUCAAUUGACAAGGUGAGAUGGUCAACUAGCGAACGUUGUAGCUCUUGAGUAGCCGAUGUGACAGCUAUGGCGAUCUGUUCGGCCAUCGCUGCCCGUAAAUCACCCAAUCCGGCCUCAAGAACCUCGAUGCGAUGUUGAUUGGAAGGUGGAGCACCCAAGACACCAAGAUCGUACUCUCUGAUACCAAUUGCUGUGAAAUGAGUACAGCUAAAGGACGAAUCAAGCCAGCAAUACCAAAUUAAUUAACACUUCCACCACAGUACUGUUUAGCAAAUACGAUUACAAUCCCCACACUUCGAGAAGGGGGCGUCUCCAAAAUACUAGCCACUACUCAGUAGACUUUCGAUAACCCUACCAUACGUAUCCAUCCCCCUUUACUAACCCUAUUACAUGAAAGUACCACAAUGCCCUCUUCUCUUAUGGACUCUGAUUAACUGGUAACUGGGCUGUUGCUUUGGGCCUCCUCACAUAAACCCUUUUAUCAACCGGUUUGGGCCAGUCCAUAGCAC
rnacentral:lncRNA from 1 species